GACGAACGCUGGCGGCGUGCUUAACACAUGCAAGUCGAGCGGUAAGGCCCUUUCGGGGGUACGACGAGCGGCGAACGGGUGAGUAACACGUGGGUGACCUGCCCUCAGCUCUGGGAUAAGCCUGGGAAACCGGGUCUAAUACCGGAUAUGACUCCAUGACGCAUGUUGUGGGGUGGAAAGCCUUGUGCGGCUGAGGAUGGGCCCGCGGCCUAUCAGCUUGUUGGUGGGGUGAUGGCCUACCAAGGCGACGACGGGUAGCCGGCCUGAGAGGGCGACCGGCCACACUGGGGACUGAGACACGGCCCAGACUCCUACGGGAGGCAGCAGUGGGGAAUCUUGCGCAAUGGGCGAAAGCCUGACGCAGCGACGCCGCGUGAGGGAUGACGGCCU
rnacentral:rRNA from 1 species